rnacentral:lncRNA from 1 species
CAAGUAUCUCCAAUCGUCUCACUUUAUCUUGAAAGAUUCUGGCAUUUUUUUCCUGCCACACAUAGUAUACACAUGCUGCCAAUGUCAUCUUAAAUAAUUCAGCACUUGCAUUCUGUGUCUUCAACUAUUUUUCCGUCCAUGCUAAUUCCUCAGUCCAUCCAUAUACUGGUCUUCUUAUCCCUUGCCAAGUUAACAUGUUUCCCCAUAACUCAGCUGCAUAAGAGCACUCAAAGAAUAGAGAUUGAAUAGUUUCACUCUCUUUUCUGCACAGUACAUACACCUAGUCAAUUUGUAUUCCCCAGUUACUCAUUAUGUCUUUAGUAUAUAACUUGCCAUGUGGUGUCAUUUUUACUAUGAAAGUCCACCUAGGGCGGCCAGUAUUACUGCAUACAACUUUCCUCCAGUUCACUUUGUUGAAGCUUCC